UACGUAGGGGGCAAGCGUUAUCCGGAAUUACUGGGCGUAAAGCGCACGCAGGCGGUUCGCCAAGUUUGGAGUGACAGUUGUCGGCUCAACCGACAAAGGACUUCAAAAACUGGUGAACUUGAGGACGAGAGAGGAACAUGGAACUCCAGGUGUAGUAGUGAAAUGCGUAGAUAUCAGGAAGAACACCCGUGGCUAAGGCGGCUCUCUAGUACGGUACUGACGCUGAAGACGCGAAAGCGUGGGGAGCGAACAGG
rnacentral:rRNA from 1 species